rnacentral:rRNA from 1 species
ACUAGUGAUUUCCGUAGGUGAACCUGCGGAAGGAUCAUUAACACAAAUCCAAACCUACUCAACGAAGCCCAAAUGCUUGCUCCGGCGAGCUCACAAAACUAAUCCAAGAAGCGUAAACAAGCCAAAACCAAAACAAAUCCUCAACGAUGGAUGUCUAGGUUCCUACAACGAUGAAGAACGCAGCGAAGUGCGAUAAGCAAUGCGAAUUGCAGAUCCGUGAGUCAUCAGAUUUUUGAACGCAACUGGCAGCGCGGGGAAUCCCCUGCGCUAUGCUUCUCUCAGUACGUGAUUCUCUCCUGCCCCAAAUAAUAAUGCGACAGAUACCCUUCUGUUGCUAAGCUCGAAAGCACACUUCCUCUGCAGCGACCAGCUUGCUGGACGCACUCAAUGCAGCAGUCACAUUUUACAAUGUGAACUCAUUGAGAGCAGGCGAAGCGACGCGGUUUCCGCGCCAGUGCUUGGACAAUUAAAUUUUACGCAUCUGAGAUGAAGUAGGACCACCCGCUGAACUUAAGCACAUCAAUACGCGGAGG